AGAGUUUGAUCCUGGCUCAGGAUGAACGCUAGCGGGAGGCUUAACACAUGCAAGUCGAGGGGCAGCAUGAUCUUCGGAUCGAUGGCGACCGGCGGACGGGUGAGUAACGCGUAUGCAACCUACCUUUUACAGAGGAAUAGCCCAGAGAAAUUUGGAUUAAUACCUCAUGGUACUAUAAAAUCGCAUGAUUUUAUAGUUAAAGAUUUAUCGGUAAAAGAUGGGCAUGCGUGACAUUAGAUUGUUGGCGGGGUAACGGCCCACCAAGUCUGCGAUGUCUAGGGGUUCUGAGAGGAUGAUCCCCCACACUGGUACUGAGACACGGACCAGACUCCUACGGGAGGCAGCAGUGAGGAAUAUUGGUCAAUGGACGCAAGUCUGAACCAGCCAUCCUGCGUGAAGGAUGACGGUCCUAUGGAUUGUAAACUUCUUUUAUGUACCAAGAAUGUGACCCUCGUGAGGGUUUUUGACGGUAGUACAUGAAUAAGCAUCGGCUAACUCCGUGCCAGCAGCCGCGGUAAUACGGAGGAUGCGAGCGUUAUCCGGAUUCAUUGGGUUUAAAGGGUGCGUAGGCGGCUUAUUAUGUCAGUGGUGAAAUCCUGCGGCUUAACCGUAGAACUGCCAUUGAAACUGAUAAGCUUGAAUAUAGUUGAGGUAGGCGGAAUGAGUAGUGUAGCGGUGAAAUGCUUAGAGAUUACUCAGAACACCGAUUGCGAAGGCAGCUUACUAAACUAUUAUUGACGCUGAGGCACGAAAGCGUGGGGAGCGAACAGGAUUAGAUACCCUGGUAGUCCACGCCGUAAACGAUGUUCACUCGCUGCUUGCGAUACAUAGUAAGUGGCCAAGCGAAAGCAUUAAGUGAACCACCUGGGGAGUACGUCGGCAACGGUGAAACUCAAAGGAAUUGACGGGGGCCCGCACAAGCGGAGGAACAUGUGGUUUAAUUCGAUGAUACGCGAGGAACCUUACCUGGGCUUAAAUGUAGAUUGCAUGUGGUGGAAACACCCUUCUCUUCGGAGCUAUCUACAAGGUGCUGCAUGGUUGUCGUCAGCUCGUGCCGUGAGGUGUCGGGUUAAGUCCCAUAACGAGCGCAACCCCUAUCGUUAGUUGCCAUCAGGUCAUGCUGGGGACUCUAGCGAGACUGCCACCGUAAGGUGAGAGGAAGGUGGGGAUGACGUCAAAUCAGCACGGCCCUUAUGUCCAGGGCUACACACGUGUUACAAUGGCAGGUACAAAGGGCAGCUACACCGCGAGGUGAUGCUAAUCUCUAAAGCCUGUCUCAGUUCGGAUC
rnacentral:rRNA from 1 species